ACAGUUUACAGUCACAUCACAGAAAAACUGCAGUAAGAAUGGAAGGAGAAAGGGUAUGUUUGUAAUAAAAUUCCAGUUGUAUAUAGCUUUAUCCCUAAUAGAUUUCAUGCCUUUCAUAGAAUGACAUGAAACAAGAAUCAGAUAAGCUUUGGAAACCCCUUAAAGGUUAUUGUAUACAUUUCUGGCUGUUUCAAUUCCAAGAAAUAAACCCAGUUCUGCACUGUUGAUAGCUUUAAACAGAAUCAUAGAGUUGGAAGGUAAUAUGUGCCAAUCUCCUGCCCAUGGAGGGAACUCGCUCCAUCCAAAGCAUAUUCAGAAAUGGCAGCAUGGCUUUUUGUUUGCAGUUGGUUUUUUAAGUCAGUAACUUAUUGGAGAAAAUCAAUGCAGGGAAUGAGAUGGACACACUUUUUACACAGAGACAUGUGUAGUUGACCUACAAUGCAAUGACAAAGGAGACUCUUGGUGAUCACAGUUAUGUGAUGGAAAGCAGCUUCCCAGGUUGCAAAGUUCUACAAACCUGGAAACACAUAUAAAAACAAAUUCUCUUGGCCAUCUUACAUGCUGAUCAUAAACUCAUCAUUUGGAAGCAAGUGCAAUUCGUUGAAAUGGCAGUGAUGCCCAAGAUCAAGGUGCCAAUAUCUGUGUUUUAUUUGGGAAAUCGUUAGUUUGAAAGUUGUAUACAGUUUCUGUAGUAAACAUGUAUUAUUACACUGUAUCUUUUGAUAUAGCCAUGCAAAGUAUUUGUGAGAAUCGGGAUACAAUGUUUCACCCCACUCAAGCAUGAGAAUCAUUUUGAAGACA